AAGGAGGAGAGGCCCCUUCAAAAACGAGUGCCUUCCUGGGCUGAGCCCCACUGCUCUGCUUCUGCUCUGCUCCCUGUGUUCCCCCAGCAGGCCUGGCCCAGCACCACCGCACUUUCCCUGGGAGAGCGCAGGUACAGAAGUUACUGAAGCAAAGAGUUUGAGCGAGCAAAGUCCAAUGGGAGCGCAGAAGAGGUGGGGCAGAGGCCAGCACUGGAAGGUUGUCACAUCACUGAAGGUUUCCCAGGCGAUUUGCCCAAGCCCCGCAGUGCUGCACUCCGUGUAUUUGACAAGCUGAGUUUGACACUCAGUGUGGCAGAGUGUCAGUUUGUCAAAUACCCCAAGUGAGGCAUUUGCUUAGCAACACACAUCAGCGCCGGAGAAGAUUGAUUAUUUCGUCUUCCUUGGACAGGAGUCUUUUAUUUAAUAUUUUAUCUCAGUUGUAAAUACAAAGAGUUACCUAAUAGCUACAUAUUAUGCUUUGCUUCCUGUGCUAGCAG